rnacentral:rRNA from 1 species
UACGGAGGGUGCUAGCGUUGGUCGGAAUUACUGGGCGUAAAGCGCACGUAGGCGGAUUUGUAAGUCAGGGGUGAAAUCCCGGGGCUCAACCUCGGAACUGCCUUUGAUACUGCAAAUCUCGAGUCCGGAAGAGGUGAGUGGAAUUCCUAGUGUAGAGGUGAAAUUCGUAGAUAUUAGGAAGAACACCAGUGGCGAAGGCGGCUCACUGGUCCGGUACUGACGCUGAGGUGCGAAAGCGUGGGGAGCAAACAGG